UAUUACCCUCCAACUUGCUCUUCUUUCUUUCUCAAAUUCUUUCUUUCCCUUCAUCCUUCCAAUUCUAGGGUUUAGUCUCAUCUUAUGAACUUUCCUCAAUCCUGCUUCUUCCGAAUACAAAAUCUGCUUCUCUUCUCCAAAAUGGUCCUACAUUCUGCCCAACCCUUACAAGGGCUCCACUUGCGAGCUCUGUUGCGCUAGAUCCCCUCAAAAUGAAGUGAUGGUGUGGGUCGAGAGAGAGAGAAGGAGAGUUGCAAGGAGGAAGAUCCUCUGGGCCGAGAUUUGAGACGAGGUGCUGUUUUGGGUCGUGCGGUGGCUCCUGGUGCAAUUCAAGACAUAGGGGAAUCGAAUGCGGUAGUGCGAGGUUGGGUUUGGUCUGGACUGUCAGCGCUUCUGGAAGCGAGGUCGAUUGUGGCUGAAGAGGGAUGCGAUGGUUGCUGGCUUGGUGGUCUGAAUCAUGAUAGGGGUUGUUGGCUGACUCUCGAACGGUGGUUGAUUUGGGUCAAAGACUACUGGUCAGAGUAGGGUUUUGUGGUGAAGAAGAGAACAUUGAUUCAAGAAAAUAGGUCAUACUUUAGAUUUGAGACAGUUGAAUCCAUAUCAGGUUGAGAUUUGUUAAAGAAGUAGACUCAGAGAGAAUGGGCUAGCAUUGGAUGAAAAAAAACUAUAAAGAAGCAAUGGAUCUGUUUGGAGAAACCAAGUAUAUUCUACUGACAAAUGUUUCAUCAAUGGGGAAUGCAAUGGUACGCAAGUUCAUUUUUAUUUAAGUGAAAAAUAUGACUUGUAUUGAAGUUUUUUAUUUGAAUUCAUGAGGUUGUAUAAUCCUUUUCCAGUCUGAAGAUGCAGAGCAGUACUGGUUUGCUUUUAUUUUAUACGCAAGCAGGAGAUUGACUUAAGUAUUUUACUGACUUGUCUUUCUAGUAUCUAAGAUUGGGUUGGAAAGGCAUUAAAUUGGAAGGCUUGACAGAGACACAUAUCUCUAUGGCAUUGGAAGAUAUGGUGAAAGUAGGAGAGUCUUUGAAAGUUUGAUGUCACUGCUUAUGGAAUACAUGCUCUCAUGCUGCACUUUUUAUGACAGAUUGUCUUGGUUAAACAUAUGUCAGAUUUUUUCCUUCUGUUCCAUUGAUCUCUGAUACCAGUUAGUCUCUUUCUGCAUGUUAUAAUAAUUUCAACAAUGAACCUGUUAAGUUGGAAGUCCUAGUUUUGCAUGUUGAGCACACUUGUUAGAACUUUACUCCGAUUUCAGAACACAGAUCCAUAUUAGAUUUGGUUCGUAUAAUUAAUCUUUCUCUAUGGAAGGUUGAUUUGCUAGAGAAAUUGGUAAUGUAUUGAGUCAGUCAAAUAAUGUGGUCUAAGUGCAACCAUGCAUAAACAAAUUUAUAAUAUCUUUCUUCAAAUCUAAGAUUGCAGUUCACUAGCUUUUCCGUCUACUAUUUAAGUUUGUAGAUUGUUAUAUUAUUUGUUGUGGUCAUUUAUUCUGUAUUAACAUUGCAGAUUUUUUCAAAGAGCUUUCUCAGUUUUUGUCAAGGCUGGUCCAAUUUUAAGUAAUCUAUUUGACACAGAUUGGGAAAAUAAGCUUGUGGUAUUGAUUAAGCAGGAGUCAUGCUUACAUUUUAUUGUUAAUGGAAGAAACUCGUUUGGGUUGUCAAGUUAGUUGAAAUUAUAUCUAGUUUUCUUUUGUUUGUUCUUUUAAUUGUGGAAUCUGUUAGGACAUAAUUGCAAGGUAUGGGACUUGAGUGAGCAUUUGAAGUAUGAGAUUCUAAUGUGGAAUUUAUAAGACUUUGGGCACUCCAACUACAACAGCUAGCUUUUGUGGUGCUGGGUCAGCCACUCAUGCUUUCUUUGGAUUCAACGGCACAACAGGAUUUGGAGAAUUGCUGCUAUCAACGAAGUAGGAGGGUGGAAAGAUAGAAUAACAAUGGAAGAUACUGACCUUGUUGUUUGUGCCAAUCUUAGGGGAUGAAUUUUUUGCACCUUGGUGACCUCCAGGAUGCCCAAAGUGCCAUAAAUGAUAUGACAGGUUAUGCAUUUUAUUAUCUCCCAUGCUGUUUGUUCCUGCUACUAUAAUCUUGAAAUUCUUACAUUACAAUCUUCAUGUUUUUUGUCUAUCAAUUAGAUAAUAUGGUUUUUAAAAAUUUCAUUCUCACGAUAUUAAUUUUUUGGGGAUUGUUUAUUCAAUGAUUGUGGCUCUUCCUUACCUUCACCGAAGCAAUGGUCGUGUUAUUAUCAAUGCAUCAAUUGCAAGUUGGUUACCUUUACCAAGAUAAGUUUAUAUGGUGUAAGUAUAAUAGUUUAUGUAUUAUGUUUAUCAUUCUCUGUUUUCUUUAUCAUUCUUUGUUCAGUUGCCUUUGAUACAGCUUGGCUUAGGAAUUUCCAAAUGGCAACGGAAUUGGAUUCAGAUUGAAAUCGUCUACAAGUGUUUUCUUUAAUUAGUUACCAACUUGUUUGUUAAAAUCAAGUUGUUAUUCAUGCUAUAGGGAAAAAAGAAAAUGACCCUAUCUUUUGAGUUACUUUAUGUAAGCUUUGUUAUCUUGUUUUAUUUAAUAAAGUAGUAUUAAGUGUUA